UUAUAUUUAUGUGUGUUUUCUCACAGUUUAGCACAAAUGUUUCCCGUGGAAGUUUGAAUCUCUCUCAGUCAGGGGGGAGAUUGACUGACUGACUGUUUACUCGCCACCAAACAGUAAUUUACCCUGAAACCUUUUACAGUAAGGACUAACGUUAACUGACUGUCUGUCUGCUCUCAACCAAACAGUCAUUCAGGACCUUGUAAAGUAAGGACUAACGUUAACUGACUGUCUGUCUGCUCUCAACCAAACAGUCAUUCAGGACCUUGUAAAGUUUAGCGCAAAUGUUUCCUGCGCAAGUUUGAAUCUCUCAGUCAGGGGGGAGAUUGACUGACUGACUGUUUACUCGCCACCAAACAGUAAUUUACCCUGAAACCUUUUACAGUAAGGACUAACGUUAACUGACUGUCUGUCUGCUCUCAACCAAACAGUCAUUCAGGACCUUGUAAAGUUUAGCGCAAAUGUUUCCUGCGCAAGUUUGAAUCUCUCAGUCAGGGGGGAGAUUGACUGACUGACUGUUUACUCGCCACCAAACAGUAAUUUACCCUGAAACCUUUUACAGUAAGGACUAACGUUAACUGACUGUCUGUCUGCUCUCAACCAAACAGUCAUUCAGGACCUUGUAAAGUUUAGCGCAAAUGUUUCCUGCGCAAGUUUGAAUCUCUCAGUCAGGGGGGAGAUUGACUGACUGACUGUUUACUCGCCACCAAACAGUAAUUUACCCUGAAACCUUUUACAGUAAGGACUAACGUUAACUGACUGUCUGUCUGCUCUCAACCAAACAGUCAUUCAGGACCUUGUAAAGUUUAGCGCAAACGUUUCCUGCGCAAGUUUGAAUCUCUCAGUCAGGGGGGAGAUUGACUGACUGACUGACUGACUGUCUAUUCGCCACCAGUCAGUUACACAGAAACCUUUUAAAGUUUAGCACAAACGUUUCCCGCGCAAGUUUGGAUCUUUACCAUUGAGGGUGGCUGACUGUUCUCGACCAACCAUCAUUCACACGCAAAAACUUUAAAGAUAAGUAUGAACGUGCCCAGAGCAGUUUUCGAUCUUUACCAUUAAGGUGGCUGACUGGCUAUCCUCUACCACCCAUCAUUAACACAACAAAAACUAAAGAAAUGUUACUCCAUAUGGACCUAUUCAUUUACUCAUUAUGCUGUGAGUACACCACAGUUUUAUCAGGGAAAAAAUGUAUAUUUGUGUGUUUCUCACUGCUUGGCAAGGACAGAUGUGGCCCUGUUAAAAAUGUUUAAAUGUCGUUUGGUUUAAGGAACAGCACACUGAUUUUGUUUUAAAUAUUCCUGUUUGGACAGUCUGUUAAAGUCAUAAAGCAGGGGUGGGGAACCCUGGUCCUGGAGGGCCACUGUCCUGCAGAGUAUAGUUCCAACCCUAAUUAAACACACCUGAAAAAUCUAAUUCAAGUCUUCAGGAUUACUUGAAAAUGAAAUUCAGGUGUGUUUGAUUAGGGUUGGAACUAAACUCUGCAGGACAGUGGCCCUCCAGGACCCAGGGUUCCCCACUCCUGUCAUAAAGGAAUACAUGAUAUAUUUCAUAAGUAAAGUGUAAAUGUAAUAUUAGUUUUUAAUGUUGUGAAUUUGGACUGAACAGCACACUUCUGUUUUAUAUCUAAACCUUUUGUAAAAUAAAUGAUUGUUCA